rnacentral:lncRNA from 1 species
GUGCAAUUAAACAGAGACAGCCUGGCGGCUGUGAACACCUCAGUGCAUUACAUUUUUAUCUGUAGGGCCGUUACCCUCAUGUUUCCUGUCAUAGAAUCUAAACAUCACAAAUCCGUGGAGGAGGGGCACUUUGACUGCAAGGAUGCUGAGUUAUGCCAAGCAGGACAGAAAAACAUCCCCUAUGGAAACCAGCAAUAGGGCUCAAGGCCCACUUAGGGACGAAGAAUCUGUCCCCUACUCUCCAAAUGGCCACCUGUUGGUCCUGCUUCUGCCCUCAGAGCUACAAGAACUAGUGUCCUUCCUCUCCCACCUGACAAACCCUGAGUCUGUCUGCCACAUGCUCUUUGGUCUUCUCAUUGCUCAACCACACUGGUGGCUUCUCCUAUACAUGGCUUCUGGCACCAUCAUCAUCCUGGUAACCUUCUGGUCUGGCUGUGCCUCUUUUCAGUUCCCCACAUGUGACUUGUAUGCAUCCAGAGAACCUAGAAGCAUUGUCCUUAUCUAAUUAUUACUUCUCCAACCCUAGGAGCAUGGAUUUUAUUUUACAAAACAAACUGGGAACAUUUAAAGCUCCAGAAUGGGGUUUGGAUCAAAACAAUGUAAGAAGUUUUGGUGAUUCUUCAAGACAGGUUGAGGAAGUCUGGCAGAGUCCCAGGAGCUAGAGAGUUGUGGUUCAGAAGAGGAGGAUGGUCUCCCAGGAGCCAACACCAGUGGAGGGACACAGAAGGGCUGGAACUUCCCUGGACCUCAGAGGCUGUUCAGGGGCAGAGGGACCUUACGUCUGUGUAGGUUGUAGCCUUGACCUCUGCUUUGAUGCAUCUCAGGGCUACUUUUUGAUCAGCACCAGAGUCUCUAGGGACUUUGGCUAAAGGGACAAAGGAAGUUGUUCUCUCUAAACCAGGAGUCGGCCUUCACACCUGGAGAAAAUAUCUGGGUCUUGAAUCCUGAGACCUCAGGAGAAGAUACUCUCCAUGGGGAGAGAUGGGGCAGGAUGGGAUGGGCUCACCUCCUGCGUGCUCAGAGAAGAGAACCCCACAGUUCCUGCUCUACAUCCGCUUGACCCCACCAUCACAUGCUGUGAGGAUGCAGGGGUGCCCCGACUUGCUCACAGGACCAUAUACUCUGGGCUUCAGCUCCCACAGUGGUUACUCAGAUUCUGAUCUGAAUGUUUAUUUGGCAGGUUAUCUCACAGAUUCCUUUAAUAAAGAUCCUCUUCCUUAUGCCUGCUUUCA